UACGGGGGGGGCGAGCGUUGUUCGGAAUUACUGGGCGUAAAGGGUGCGUAGGCGGCUUUCUAAGUCAGACGUGAAAUCCCUCGGCUCAACCGGGGAACUGCGUCUGAGACUGGAAGGCUUGAAUCCGGGAGAGGGAUGUGGAAUUCCAGGUGUAGCGGUGAAAUGCGUAGAUAUCUGGAGGAACACCGGUGGCGAAGGCGGCAUCCUGGACCGGUAUUGACGCUGAGGCGCGAAAGCCAGGGGAGCAAACGGG
rnacentral:rRNA from 1 species